GCUUCUAAUGUACCCCAAGGUGGGGGAUAGGUCGGGGAAACCCGGCGUAAUACCCCAUGUGCUCUUCGGAGGAAAGGUUUCGACCGCCUUGGGAGCAGGAAGCGUCCUAUCAGGUAGUUGGUGUGGUAAUAGCGCACCAAGCCUAAGACGGGUAGCGGGUGUGAGAGCAUGACCCGCCGCAUCGGGACUGAGACACUGCCCGGACUCCUACGGGAGGCUGCAGCGACGAAUCUUCCGCAAUGCGCGAAAGCGUGACGGAGCAAUGCCGCGUGUGGGAUGAAGCAGCUUCGCUGUGUAAACCACUGUCAGGGGUUAGAAAUACUGAUCAACCCCAAAGGAAGGGCCGGCUAACCUCGUGCCAGCAGCCGCGGUAAGACGAGGGGCCCGAGCGUUAUUCGGAAUCACUGGGCUUAAAGGGUGCGUAGGCGGAUGCGCAAGCGUCUCGUGAAAUCCCUCGGCUCAACCGAGGAAUUGCGGGGCGAACUGCGUGUCUUGAGACAGGUAGGGGCCGUCGGAACGCUAGGUGGAGCGGUGAAAUGCAUAGAUAUCUAGCGGAACGCCGAAGGAGAAGUCGGGCGGCUGGGCCUGUUCUGACGCUGAGGCACGAAAGCGUGGGGAGCAAACGGGAUUAGAUACCCCGGUAGUCCACGCCCUAAACGAUGCGCACUAGAUCGAGGCGGUUUCGACGCCGUCUCGGUCGUAGAGAAAUCAUUAAGUGCGCCGCCUGGGGAGUACGGUCGCAAGGCUAAAACUCAAAGGAAUUGACGGGGGCUCACACAAGCGGUGGAGCAUGUUGCUUAAUUCGAAGCAACGCGAAGAACCUUACCUGGGUUUGACAUGCACGGAUUAGCUUUUGGAAACAAGAGUGACACCUUCGGGUGGAACGUGCACAGGUGCUGCAUGGCUGUCGUCAGCUCGUGCUGUGA
rnacentral:rRNA from 1 species